GACGAACGCUGGCGGCGUGCCUAAUACAUGCAAGUAGAACGCUGAAGGAGGAGCUUGCUUCUCCGGAUGAGUUGCGAACGGGUGAGUAACGCGUAGGUAACCUGCCUGGUAGCGGGGGAUAACUAUUGGAAACGAUAGCUAAUACCGCAUAAUAGCAGUUAUUGGCAUGAUAACUGUUUGAAAGGUGCAAUUGCACCACUACCAGAUGGACCUGCGUUGUAUUAGCUAGUUGGUGGGGUAACGGCUCACCAAGGCGACGAUACAUAGCCGACCUGAGAGGGUGAUCGGCCACACUGGGACUGAGACACGGCCCAGACUCCUACGGGAGGCAGCAGUAGGGAAUCUUCGGCAAUGGACGGAAGUCUGACCGAGCAACGCCGCGUGAGUGAAGAAGGUUUUCGGAUCGUAAAGCUCUGUUGUAAGAGAAGAACGAGUGUGAGAGUGGAAAGUUCACACUGUGACGGUAUCUUACCAGAAAGGACGGCUAA
rnacentral:rRNA from 1 species